GCUUGUGAGGUGUGAAAAAUAAAAUGAAAUUUAGAAAUCCACACAUCUACCCAGGAACUUGGAUCCCUGUCAGUCAUCAUUAUAAUUGUUGUCCUUUUCUGCCAACGUGUUCAGGAAUGGAAAUUGAAAACAUUUUUGUUCUCAUUUGCAUUGUGUGCCCACACCUCUCUGUGCAGCAACGUUUGAGUCAAUUCUCCAAUUACUUUUGCCCCUUGCAAAAGAGAGGGUUACAUAUUGGGGAGCUGUAAUCACUAAAUCCCUCCUCUAAUUUGGAUGUGAAUACACUCAAAUUAAAAGGACACUAUAGUCACCUAAACAACCCUGCAGCCUCACUGCUCAAUCCUCUGCCAUUUAGGAGUUAAAUCCCUUUGUUUAUGAACCCUAGUCACACCUCCCUGCAUGUGACUUGCACAGCCUUCCAUAAACACUUCCUGUAAAGAGAGCCCUAUUUAGGCUUUCUUUAUUGCAAGUUCUGUUUAAUUAAGAUUUUCUUAUCCUCUGCUAUGUUAAUAGCUUGCUAGACCCUGCAAGAGCCUCCUGUAUGUGAUUAAAGUUCAAUUUAGAGAUUGAGAUACAAUUAUUUAAGGUAAAUUACAUCUGUUUGAAAGUGAAACCAGUUUUUUUUUUCAUGCAGGCUCUGUCAGUCAUAGCCAGGGGAGGUGUGGCUAGGGCUGCAUAAACAGAAACAAAGUGAUUUAACUCCUAAAUGACAGUGAAUUGAGCAGUGAAAUAGCAGGGGAAUGAUCUAUACACUAAAACUGCUUUAUUUAGCUAAAGUAAUUUAGGUGACUAUAGUGUUCCUUUACAGCUGAGAUAUUGUACAUUAAGCCCAUAUUCAUUAUUAAACUGUAACUUGGACGCACACAUGGCGUCUGCCCAAAUUAGUUAGAUGACCAAGUACUGCUGCCUGCGGUCGGGAGACAAAAUGGCCGCUGUUUUCCAGCGCAUGUGUCUUUCGGUUAUAUGAACGGCGGCCGGGUAGAGAGAGCACUUAACUUUGUGGUUACUUUUAAGAUAAUGAGCCAGGGGGUGGUCUGCGUUCGGUAGACAAAACUACGGAAUAAAGGGUGUAGCAGAGAGCUGAUAUUCCACCGGUUAUCUCCACUCAAGAUCCCAGUGAGGCUCAAGAACAAGUAUUAAAAAUACAUAAGGCAAUAAUUCCAGCAGGCAAGACAAUCCAAUAAUAUCCCAAUGACUGAACGACGACACAGCAUCAGGAGCAGAACUGAACUUUUAAUCACACAACCUUCUUUUACAGCUUUCUCCCAUGCAAGGGAGGGAUUUACAGUAAUUACACAAUACACCAAUCAUACACAAGUUGCCACCCACACAUCCCCUCCCCUUAGUAUGACACAUAAUCCCAUUAUGCAGGACACAGUUCCCCUUGUUUUCUGGAUGUACCCCUAAACAUAGGGGUACCUCUUUAAAUAUUACAUCCCCUGGUAGCCCUGAUCUGGGUGAGACACAUAUCCAAACAUCAACCAGAUCGGACCAAGGGUUCGGGAAAUUCCUGGAGGUAUUAAAAAGACCGACCGCGCUGGAGUUAACAGCCGAAAAGGGUUUCAUACAUUUUGGCCCUGCGGUCGGUCACAGAAAAGGGAAUGAAACACACGAAUGGCUUGGGUUAUUAGAACUGGGGAGGAUUCAGGUAAAUCCCCUUGUUCGUGGGGUUUCUUCUACUGAACAGGGAGCCGUUCGGUAGUUCUUACACAAAUUGGCAGCAGUAUGGAGGUCUCAGCGGUGUUUGCCUAACCGAGUGUCCGAUUUGGGUUCCAGACACUCGAUGGCAAAACACCGCUGUUCGGGAAGUUAAGAUGGCCGCCGCCACGUGUUUGUCUCCCGAAUGGUGGCCACCCAGAGGACAAAGUACACACUGCAUGAAUUGCCAAUUACCCGUUUGCAACAUUGUUGCGAACGGUAAUUGGAGGCACACUUAUUCCUGGGGUGGUCUGAUUGUUCGGUAGUUUCACUCGCAUAAUAACAGGAGUGAUUUUACCGAACAAUCAGGCGAAUGCUGCAACAAUCAGGCGAAUGCUGCAUACACUUUACAUACACAUGGCAAAAUUAAACCGAAAACAUAUGAAUAUACAUAAUUCUGAGGACAGCCCAAUGCCAUCCGCUACAAAGGGAAAAAAUAACUUGGGCUUAGGAGACUUAUAGGGGUUUGGGGUAGUUUGUUACACCCUCCAACCACCGGUCCGUCGAAGGCCCCAACCUCCCACACAGGAGAAUUUACAGCAUAGCCGGCAGGCAGUUUCAGCACCCGAUAUCCCCCACCCCAGAUAAUACAGCACUCUAUAUCCCCUUUCCCAGAUAAUACAGCAUCCUAUAUCCCCCCACGCCCAGAUAAUACAGCACCCUAUAUCCCCCACCCCAGAUAAUACAGCACCAUAUUGUGACGGGCCGCCUGGCAACCCCAACUGGGUGCCUCCACCAAUCGCUGCUUCCUAGCUGCCGCUGAGUACCAUAAGCACCCGACACCGUAGCCCCUUAGCCGCCGCAGCUUGGCUGGGGUCUCGCCGUCCCUUCCAACCUUGGACCAAACUCCUGGAUCCAGCUCUCAGUGAGAAGGCUUCUCCUCCAAGAGAGUAUAGCAGGUAUAGUGGUGUAGUUCUUGCAAGAGCUGGUGAUUAUAGCUCAUAUAGCGGUUCCCUAGAAAUAUGAGAUGAGACUCUAUGUUGAGGGUAAGCAGGAACUUGUUUAUUGGCAGCCACAACUGGCCUUUUAUGCAGGUCCCCAUGCAAGGGGCACUGUUUUGGGUAUAGGACCAUGUGCACGGUUGGUCAAAAUUAUGACUUUCAUGGAAAUCCCAAACCCCUGAACCGAUCUGGGUGAUUUUUGGAUAUGUUGGUCCCCCAGAUCAAGGCUAUCAGAGGAUGUGACUUUUGUGGGGUUUCCAUGUGUUUUGGGGGUACUUUUGGGAUAUUGUUGAAAUGCAUGUUUUUCAACUAUCUCUCAGGCACAGGGGAGGGGAAAGGAUUAUCCUGUUUUGUGUGGGAGUGUCCUGGACCUGAGAGCCAAUGUAAUUACAGUGUGUACUUUGUCAUAGUCCCCUCUCAGGUCAAGGGGGGAAUGCCCCAGGAAUAUGUAUCCGGAAAUCCCUUGCAUUGGGAGUUGCAUAUAAGGCUGCAUGUGGCUCCCAUUAAACCAGUUCAACUUCAUCCUCAACACAGAGCCUCCUCUCAUAAUUGUAGGGAUCAGCUAUACCAGCUAUAUCACUAGCUCUUGUAAGAGCUAUCCUGCUAUACUUUCUGGAGUAGGAGAGGUCUACCCACUUGAAGCUGGAUCCCUGACUUGUGUCCAGGGUGGGUGGAGGACAGCAAGACUCCAGUCAAGCUGCAACGGCUAAGGGUCUACAGUGCUGAUGGUGUCUGGUGGAGUGCUUGGAAGUACUAGGAAGCAGUGAUUGUCCGUCACAUGUAUGUAUGUCUGUAUGUAUGAAUGUAUAUGUGUGUUGUGACGAAAUGCCUUUUGUCACUGGAUUAUUAGGUGACAAGCUGCCCUUUGCCCCGGCUGUUGGAGGAGCCUGAUUGCUAGCCUCCUUACUCAUGACUAUGGCCCUGGGGUGUAUUGCCAUUUAAAAAGACUAUUUGGGGCUUAUUGGCUUCUAAAGACUGUUUCUGCCCAUUUGAAUCCAUGGGAAGGUGUGUUUAUUCCCCUCCCCCGUUUCCUGUCUAUUGUUCUCCAGCAGGGCGUUGUCCCAAGCACACUGCCAAACCAGUUGGAGCUGACUGCUUUUGUCCCUCCUUGGUUUCUCAACAGCCCUUGCUAUGCUUUGCCCCAUGGCAAAUUUACUCUGUUCAUGGGAUCUGAGUGCUGUUCACCUAGAUUGGGUGCUCAGAUCUGAGCUAUCUGGGGAUAGGUUAAAUGUGGGGGAUCUGUGUAAUAUAAUAAGAAUUAUGUAUUUUUAUAUGCUUUUACGUAUUUUUGCUGUUAGUGUAAAAUGUAGAUAUUUUCUGUACCUGGUAAUUGAGUUUACUGCAGUGCCUUAAACCAAUUAUCUCCAGGAUGGAGAGGAGGGAUUUCAUGUAUAUGUGGGAGUGUUAUUAUGUUAAUUAGUGUUCCCAUUGGUUUGUGUCCCUUUUGUCACAGUUUACCACCAGGUCCAGGGGGUGUGCCUUUGGCCUGAAAACUUGUAUAUAAGGAGUAAUAAACGCUCAUUGGAG